GGUGAACGCUGGCGGCGUGCCUAAUACAUGCAAGUCGAGCGAAUGGAUUGAGAGCUUGCUCUCAAGAAGUUAGCGGCGGACGGGUGAGUAACACGUGGGUAACCUGCCCAUAAGACUGGGAUAACUCCGGGAAACCGGGGCUAAUACCGGAUAACAUUUUGAACUGCAUGGUUCGAAAUUGAAAGGCGGCUUCGGCUGUCACUUAUGGAUGGACCCGCGUCGCAUUAGCUAGUUGGUGAGGUAACGGCUCACCAAGGCAACGAUGCGUAGCCGACCUGAGAGGGUGAUCGGCCACACUGGGACUGAGACACGGCCCAGACUCCUACGGGAGGCAGCAGUAGGGAAUCUUCCGCAAUGGACGAAAGUCUGACGGAGCAACGCCGCGUGAGUGAUGAAGGCUUUCGGGUCGUAAAACUUUGUUGUUAGGGAAGAACAAGUGCUAGUUGAAUAAGCUGGCACCUUGACGGUACCUAACCAGAAAGCCACGGCUAACUACGUGCCAGCCGCCGCAGUAA
rnacentral:rRNA from 1 species